rnacentral:rRNA from 1 species
UUAAGUUAUUAAGGGCGCACGGUGGAUGCCUUGGCACUAGAAGCCGAUGAAGGACGUUACUAACGACGAUAUGCUUUGGGGAGCUGUAAGUAAGCUUUGAUCCAGAGAUUUCCGAAUGGGGAAACCCAGCAUGAGUUAUGUCAUGUUAUCGAUAUGUGAAUACAUAGCAUAUCAGAAGGCACACCCGGAGAACUGAAACAUCUUAGUACCCGGAGGAAGAGAAAGAAAAUUCGAUUCCCUUAGUAGCGGCGAGCGAAACGGGAAGAGCCCAAACCAACAAGCUUGCUUGUUGGGGUUGUAGGACACUCUAUACGGAGUUACAAAGGACGACAUUAGACGAAUCAUCUGGAAAGAUGAAUCAAAGAAGGUAAUAAUCCUGUAGUCGAAAAUGUUGUCUCUCUUGAGUGGAUCCUGAGUACGACGGAGCACGUGAAAUUCCGUCGGAAUCUGGGAGGACCAUCUCCUAAGGCUAAAUACUCUCUAGUGACCGAUAGUGAACCAGUACCGUGAGGGAAAGGUGAAAAGCACCCCGGAAGGGGAGUGAAAUAGAACCUGAAACCGUGUGCUUACAAGUAGUCAGAGCCCGUUAAUGGGUGAUGGCGUGCCUUUUGUAGAAUGAACCGGCGAGUUACGAUUUGAUGCAAGGUUAAGCAGUAAAUGUGGAGCCGUAGCGAAAGCGAGUCUGAAUAGGGCGUUUAGUAUUUGGUCGUAGACCCGAAACCAGGUGAUCUACCCUUGGUCAGGUUGAAGUUCAGGUAACACUGAAUGGAGGACCGAACCGACUUACGUUGAAAAGUGAGCGGAUGAACUGAGGGUAGCGGAGAAAUUCCAAUCGAACCUGGAGAUAGCUGGUUCUCUCCGAAAUAGCUUUAGGGCUAGCCUCAAGUGAUGAUUAUUGGAGGUAGAGCACUGUUUGGACGAGGGGCCCCUCUCGGGUUACCGAAUUCAGACAAACUCCGAAUGCCAAUUAAUUUAACUUGGGAGUCAGAACAUGGGUGAUAAGGUCCGUGUUCGAAAGGGAAACAGCCCAGACCACCAGCUAAGGUCCCAAAAUAUAUGUUAAGUGGAAAAGGAUGUGGCGUUGCCCAGACAACUAGGAUGUUGGCUUAGAAGCAGCCAUCAUUUAAAGAGUGCGUAAUAGCUCACUAGUCGAGUGACACUGCGCCGAAAAUGUACCGGGGCUAAACAUAUUACCGAAGCUGUGGAUUGUCCUUUGGACAAUGGUAGGAGAGCGUUCUAAGGGCGUUGAAGCAUGAUCGUAAGGACAUGUGGAGCGCUUAGAAGUGAGAAUGCCGGUGUGAGUAGCGAAAGACGGGUGAGAAUCCCGUCCACCGAUUGACUAAGGUUUCCAGAGGAAGGCUCGUCCGCUCUGGGUUAGUCGGGUCCUAAGCUGAGGCCGACAGGCGUAGGCGAUGGAUAACAGGUUGAUAUUCCUGUACCACCUAUAAUCGUUUUAAUCGAUGGGGGGACGCAGUAGGAUAGGCGAAGCGUGCGAUUGGAUUGCACGUCUAAGCAGUAAGGCUGAGUAUUAGGCAAAUCCGGUACUCNNNNNNNNNNNUAAGGCUGAGCUGUGAUGGGGAGAAGACAUUGUGUCUUCGAGUCGUUGAUUUCACACUGCCGAGAAAAGCCUCUAGAUAGAAAAUAGGUGCCCGUACCGCAAACCGACACAGGUAGUCAAGAUGAGAAUUCUAAGGUGAGCGAGCGAACUCUCGUUAAGGAACUCGGCAAAAUGACCCCGUAACUUCGGGAGAAGGGGUGCUCUUUAGGGUUAACGCCCAGAAGAGCCGCAGUGAAUAGGCCCAAGCGACUGUUUAUCAAAAACACAGGUCUCUGCUAAACCGUAAGGUGAUGUAUAGGGGCUGACGCCUGCCCGGUGCUGGAAGGUUAAGAGGAGUGGUUAGCUUCUGCGAAGCUACGAAUCGAAGCCCCAGUAAACGGCGGCCGUAACUAUAACGGUCCUAAGGUAGCGAAAUUCCUUGUCGGGUAAGUUCCGACCCGCACGAAAGGCGUAACGAUUUGGGCACUGUCUCAACGAGAGACUCGGUGAAAUCAUAGUACCUGUGAAGAUGCAGGUUACCCGCGACAGGACGGAAAGACCCCGUGGAGCUUUACUGUAGCCUGAUAUUGAAAUUCGGCACAGCUUGUACAGGAUAGGUAGGAGCCUUUGAAACGUGAGCGCUAGCUUACGUGGAGGCGCUGGUGGGAUACUACCCUAGCUGUGUUGGCUUUCUAACCCGCACCACUUAUCGUGGUGGGAGACAGUGUCAGGCGGGCAGUUUGACUGGGGCGGUCGCCUCCUAAAAGGUAACGGAGGCGCUCAAAGGUUCCCUCAGAAUGGUUGGAAAUCAUUCAUAGAGUGUAAAGGCAUAAGGGAGCUUGACUGCGAGACCUACAAGUCGAGCAGGGUCGAAAGACGGACUUAGUGAUCCGGUGGUUCCGCAUGGAAGGGCCAUCGCUCAACGGAUAAAAGCUACCCCGGGGAUAACAGGCUUAUCUCCCCCAAGAGUUCACAUCGACGGGGAGGUUUGGCACCUCGAUGUCGGCUCAUCGCAUCCUGGGGCUGUAGUCGGUCCCAAGGGUUGGGCUGUUCGCCCAUUAAAGCGGUACGCGAGCUGGGUUCAGAACGUCGUGAGACAGUUCGGUCCCUAUCCGUCGUGGGCGUAGGAAAUUUGAGAGGAGCUGUCCUUAGUACGAGAGGACCGGGAUGGACAUACCUCUGGUGUACCAGUUGUCGUGCCAACGGCAUAGCUGGGUAGCUAUGUGUGGACGGGAUAAGUGCUGAAAGCAUCUAAGCAUGAAGCCCCCCUCAAGAUGAGAUUUCCCAACUUCGGUUAUAAGAUCCCUCAAAGAUGAUGAGGUUAAUAGGUUCGAGGUGGAAGCAUGGUGACAUGUGGAGCUGACGAAUACUAAUCGAUCGAAGACUUAAUCAA